rnacentral:rRNA from 1 species
UAAGGUGAUUAUUGCGAUGGGGCUCACCUCUUACCAUUCCGAACAGAGAAGUUAAGCCCAUUUGCGCCGAUGGUACUGCCAGUUGUGGGAGAGUAGGUCGUCGCCUUUU